UUUAUAACAGAGAGAUAGACCAACUGCUGGCCCCACCCCAUUUCCUCCAAGAAGACUGGUGGGCACUGAAGAAACUCCAGCCACAAAAAUGGCAACACUGGCUACUGAGCGAGCAAUCCUUCCCUUCACCUCAGCUGCUGCAAAGGACUCUUUGGACCAUGUACAAGAGGACAAUGGAAUCAACUUUCCCCCCGUUGCUUGGGUCAAUGAUAGGCAAGUCUUCUUAUAGUUCCCGAUCCUCAGGUCCCAUGCUAUCACCAGAAGGCGGGUGUCCUGCAGGCCACAACCAUGGAUGGAGGACCUUGGGGGUGGCUGUUCAUGCAGCCUGCUGCCAGACUUACUCUUUCUUCUACACUGGGACGCCACUUCAACCCAGACGAGUGACAGACAGGGUCCUGAGGAGGAAGGUCCAGGGGGUCAGAGAUUAUGAUGACAGAGCUGGUAAGCUCGGGAGGUCUUUCGCAGGCUGCAUCUCAUGCCAACUGAAACGCACUGAGAAGCACAGUGUGUUUCAUACUAUUUCCAGGGGAGAAGUGGGACAAGGUCAGAAGAAACUCUCAUGGGAGGCAGUCGGUGGGGAGCUAAUCACACAAUGUUGCACACGGUGAACACAGG
rnacentral:lncRNA from 1 species